rnacentral:snRNA from 1 species
UUAUUUACCUGGCAGGGGAGAUACCAUGAUCACUAAGGGGGUUCCAUGAUCACUAAGGGGGUUCUCCCAAGGCGAGGCUCAUCCAUUGCACUCCAGGUGUGCAACGCCUGCAAUUUCAUGCGGGAAACUCAAAUGCAUAAUUUGUGGUAGUGGUGGACUGCGUUCGCACUCUCCCCUG